rnacentral:rRNA from 1 species
GACGGGGGGGCAAGUGUUCUUCGGAAUGACUGGGCGUAAAGGGCACGGUAGGCGGUGAAUCGGGUUGAAAGUGAAAGUCGCCAAAAGUGGCGGAAUGCUCUCGAAACCAAUUCACUUGAGUGAGACAGAGGAGAGUGGAAUUUCGUGUGUAGGGGUGAAAUCCGUAGAUCUACGAAGGAACGCCAAAAGCGAAGGACAGCUCUCUGGGUCCCUACCGACGCUGGGGUGCGAAAGCAUGGGGAGCGAACAGG